GAUGAAGAACGUAGCGAAAUGCGAUAAGUAAUGUGAAUUGCAGAAUUCAGUGAAUCAUCGAAUCUUUGAACGCACCUUGCGCUCUUUGGUAUUCCGAAGAGCAUGCCUGUUUGAGUGUCAUGAAAAUAUCAACCUUGACUUGGGUUUUGUGCUCUAGUCUCGGCUUGGAAUUGGGUGCUUGCCGCUUUUACGAGCGGCUCACCUUAAAUGUAUUAGCUGGAUCUGUCUUUGAGACUUGGUUUGACUUGGCGUAAUAAGUAUUUCGCUAAGGACAUUCUUCGGAGUGGCCUCGUUUCUAGGACGCUUGUCCGCUUUCCAAUACAAGUUCCACCUCGUGGACAUGACUUUUUAUUAUCUGGCCUCAAAUCAGGUAGGACUACCCGCUGAACUUAAGCAUAUUAAUAAGCGGAGGA
rnacentral:misc_RNA from 1 species